CCUACGGGAGACAGCAGUGAGGAAUAUUGGUCAAUGGGCGCGAGUCUGAACCAGCCAAGUAGCGUGAAGGAUGACUGCCCUACGGGUUGUAAACUUCUUUUAUAAAGGAAUAAAGCGAGGCACGUGGGCCUUUUUGCAUGUACGUUAUGAAUAAGGAUCGGCUAACUCCGUGCCAGCAGCCGCGGUAAUACGGAGGAUCCGAGCGUUAUCCGGAUUUAUUGGGUUUAAAGGGAGCGUAGGUGGGUUGUUAAGUCAGUUGUGAAGGUUUGCGGCUCAACCGUAAAAUUGCAAUUGAUACUGGCAGCCUUGAGUACAGUUGAGGUAGGCGGCAUUCGUGGUGUAGCGG
rnacentral:rRNA from 1 species